AAGACUAUAGACCUGCGGAGUACCUGCGGAAGGAUCAUCAUUAAAUCCAUUUAUACACCCUUGUGAACUGUGCGCUGAAGUUGCUACGCUCGCCGUGCAUCUUUCUUUGCAAAAACUACUUAAUUUAAAAAAGCUGAAGCAAUUUUAUUAAAUAAAACAACUUUCAACAAUGGAUCUCU
rnacentral:misc_RNA from 1 species